GAUGAACGCUAGCUACAGGCUUAACACAUGCAAGUCGAGGGGCAGCACAAGGCAGCAAUGCUGAGGUGGCGACCGGCGCACGGGUGCGUAACGCGUAUCCAACCUUCCCGUUACUCUUGGAUAGCCUUCCGAAAGGGAGAUUAAUACAAGAUGGUGUUGAAAUUCCGCAUGUUAUUUCAACUAAAGAUUUAUCGGUAACGGAUGGGGAUGCGUGACAUUAGAUAGAUGGCGGGGUAACGGCCCACCAUGUCCACGAUGUCUAGGGGUUCUGAGGUGAAGGUCCCCCACACUGGAACUGAGACACGGUCCAGACUCCUACGGGAGGCAGCAGUGAGGAAUAUUGGUCAAUGGCCGGAAGGCUGAAACAGCCAAGUAGCGUGAAGGAUGAAGGUUCUAUGGAUUGUAAACUUCUUUUAUACGGGAAUAAAACCUCCCACGUGUGGGAGCUUGUAUGUACCGUAUGAAUAAGCAUCGGCUAACUCCGUGCCAGCCGCCGCAGUAAGAC
rnacentral:rRNA from 1 species